ensembl:lncRNA
AGUAAAGACUGCAGCCGUGUCUUGGUCACUGUCUGCCCUAUAUGGCUCUUUCUUCCGUCUUGAGGCUGGGUAACUACAAGGCUUGAAGGCCUCCUGGGUGAUAGGUAACAAUACAGCUCAAGGCAACAAUCCAGAAAUUGCCUUUGAGCUACCUCAAAUCUCCACCCUAAAUGCCAGAGUUAUCCUGCUUAAAACAGAGUUGGUUUCACUCAAUUAACAUGUGUUAGAACGGCGAUUCCCAAACUUUUUGGUAUCAGGGACCAGUUUCAUGGAAGACAAUUUUUCCACAGAUAAGGCCUCAAUGGAUUCUGCAGCUUCCUCCUACUGUAAGGAUGCUUCCUUUGCAAAGCCUUGACUAGAUACCUGGAUGAUAAGCACUAAAUCUAAUAAUGAAGAGAGAGAGAGAGAGGUCAACCAAUAGCCAGCGACAGGGUUCUGGAUAUUGAAUGGGUGUGUCUUAAAUCUACCAGCCCUGGCUAGCCCUCUGGAUGUCUACAGGUGAAGGGCUACAUGAAGAGAAAUCAUCAGAAGAACCACCCAGCUGAGCACUUAUCCAACCCAAAGACUUAUGAAAAACAAUAAAUCAUCGUUUUAAAGAUUGGUUUUGGAUGGAUUUAUUAUACAGUAAUAGGUAACAAGGUCUUUUCCAAUGAGUCAGCUCUUUGCAUCAGAUGACCAAAGUAUUGCAGCUUCAGCAUCCAUCCUUCCAAUGAAUAUUCAAGGUUGAUCUCACUUAGGAUUGAGUGGUUUGGAAAAGACCCUGAUGCUAGGAAGGAUUGAAAGCAAAAGGAAAAGAGGGUGACAGAGGAUGAGAUGGUUAGAUAGCAUCACCGAUUCAAAGCACAUGAACAUGAGCGAACUCCAAGAGAUAGUGGAGGAUGAGGAAGCCUGGUUCGUGGGGUCACAAAGAGUCAGACACGACUUAGUGACUGAACAACAACACACUAGCUAACAUAAGAGAAACAUUACAACUGUGUGAAUAAGUUUUUGCUGUUGUUGUUUAACUUGUCUGAGUGUUAAUUAUAUUAGCUACCCCCUUGGCAGUAUUGAGAUAAACAGAAACAUCUUUCUAUAACUCCCCUAGAGUUUGCUGUCCCUUCAGAAAAUGUGUGCUUCGGUUUCCCUCUCUCCUCAGUUUUAAAUCUGACAUUUUCUUCUUUUGUGUGGUUCACUAACUUCUUUAAAACAGCAUGCCACAAAUGGUGAUACUCCUGGUAUAUAAAGUAAAAUCUAAGGUUGCUUAUUUAAGUUAAUUUUUGUGUAGUGUAAUUUGUCUGAAUGAGAUAAUAAAGUAAUUCCAUUUUACACUGACUUGUGCUAUGACCCAGCACUUUAAUUUUACUUUAAUAUAAUUUUAGCAAAAAGCAUAGGGGCCAUGGUACUGCAUGCAUUUUUGUGUACAGAAUUGAAAAAAUCCACUUAUAUGCUCUCAUAUGCUUUACUCAAUGUGAAGUGUAUCAGCUGUGGAUGUCCCAUUUCAAAAAAUAUUUCAUUAAAAAGGGAUGAAUCUGUAGUAUUUUUUCAAUAGAAGAAAGAAUGUCACCUACAUACUAUCCCCAAGACACAUAUUUAACUAUGAAUAUUUACAGAGAUUUCAAGUAUUUAAUUGUUAUUCUUUCUGCCUCCAUAUGAAAGAUUUUUAUAGAAGACAUUAAUACAAAUGGAUGGUCUUUCGUUUGUAUGUGUUUUCUUUUCUUUUUCUCUUUUUAAGUAGUCGGACGCUUGGCUAGUUUUAUUGAAUAUACUAUAGGGAACACUAACUGCAAACAUAAAACACAUAUUCUUAAAUUAGACAUAGAAGACUUUUCCUGCUUUUAUUGCAGCAACAAUAUAUCAUGGCAAAGGCCUUGUUUAAGACAACUUGAAAGUUACUGUGACCUAAUGAAGACAAAGGAUAUGGGGGAUACAAAACUUAUUAAUACAGAAAUAAGUCAGUGCUGCCCAUUGUAGAUGCAAGAAAGUAUCUUGUUUAAGUGUUCACAGAGAGCAGGAAGGGCGUGAAGUGACUAAUAUCUAUUCUAUCCCAGUCCUGGAAACACUUGUAAAGUCCACACUUGUU